CUUCUCUGUAGGAGAACGUGGAGAGGGCUCAUUA
rnacentral:rRNA from 1 species